ACUCCUACGGGAGGCAGCAGUGGGGAAUAUUGCACAAUGGGCGAAAGCCUGAUGCAGCAACGCCGCGUGAGGGAUGACGGCCUUCGGGUUGUAAACCUCUUUUGUCCGGGACGAUAAUGACGGUACCGGAAGAAUAAGCCCCGGCUAACUUCGUGCCAGCAGCCGCGGUAAU
rnacentral:rRNA from 1 species